GUGCUCGCUUUGGCAGCACAUAUACUAAAAUUGGAAUGAUACAGAGAAGAGUAGCAUGGCCCUGGUUCAAGCAUUACAUGCAAAUUUGUGAAGUGUUCCCCUUUCUU
rnacentral:snRNA from 1 species